GAGAAAGGGGUUUGGGCUAUAAGCUAACAGGAGCAAACCUUGUAUGAUGGUUUGCCGUGCUUCUUGAAAGGAAACGUAAUGGCGCAAUGGUUUGCUGACAAAUAGAACCAGAGAAAAUGGCCGGUUUGGGUUUCAGCCUAAAAUAUGACCGCCAAAAACUUUCGUAACAUUCGCUCAUUUUUCGUCAUCCAUAAAGGCAAGUCAAUUUCGCGAAAGAGAGGUGCUGUCCUUGUAGUUCAGGCCAGAUACAUUGGCAUGAGAUGGACAUUAUAUCAUUGUCAUGUCUUCUUUCACUUUUGAAUAUUUUGAAAGAAAUAAUGUGAGGAUGAAAAUGGAUGGAGGGAGGACAAACUUGUCUGGUAGACUUGUCGUAGGUAAGAGCAAACAGAACAACGUAGUUGACUGUAUGCAUAGCGACUCUGUACACAAUCCUUUGCUUCUCUCUACAUCUCCUUUUGGAGGCUGUCAGACGAAUUUAUAACCGAAGUGGAGAGAGAAAAAAGAAUCGGUAAAGAAAAGAGAAAAAGGAAGGUUGAAAAUCGCCAUUACACUGCUGUUCUGUCACCAGUUCCACAUGCUCCAUUUGCUAUCAGUGACCAUAUCAUAAACCGGCCUGCGACGGCGACCAUAGGCAGACCAAUAUGACUGACCGUGUCGUUAAAGUGUCGCAUUACUUUUAUUCGUGCUUCUUUGAGGCCACCAUACAUCUGCCAGUCAAGUCCAGACCAUGAUUUUGACAUGAGGCUACAUCUUUGAAUCUAGAUGAUGAUUCUACAGUGAGUGACCAAGCGUGAAAUCCAUCACAAUCAAAAGCUCAUUAAGAUGUUGACUGUGACUUCUUCAGGGCGCAAAGUGUCCUCGCAUCAUAAACUGAAAACCUAAUAUUUUCAUUUGAUUAUUUAUGUACUACCUACUCUUCCAACUGACUAAGCAUUUUAAGGUCUGGUUAACUGUACACUUAGUCAAUAGGCUGACGGCAAAUAUACCGUGUCCGUUACGUGUUGGACUUGCAAACACAUUCAGGCGCUGUUAGUCAAUUUGAAGACAGAUAAUUAUGCCUGUCACUUGUUUUGGAAGUAAAUAGCACGACCAAGAAUUUUGCAAACAUCAUAAUGAUUUUGGACAACAGCUCGAGUCGGUAUGAGACACUUUGCUAACUGAUCUAGAAUUCUUCAGUAGUACUGAUUUCUAAGGCAGAAGAAGAUCCGACUCUUACCUAUAGCCAUCUCAACAUACACGCAUCCGACCUCAGUGUUCCCAUCAAAAUAUCUGUCGGUGCCUUGAAUGACUUUCUAAGGAAAUCUAAAAAUAUGAGAUUGGAAUUGGCGUCGCGACAUUCUUCUGGAGGCACGCGGAAUUCGAGCGAGUGGCGGCCUUCGACGGAGCGGUUAGCUUCGGGCUCAAUCUUGUCAAGCAAACGGUAGAUAGACUACUAGUAUACACUUCAUGGUUGGAAUCUUUGUCAUAUUCUCCUCCAAACGAUAGUUAACAAUAUCGAAUUCCGUGGAUUCUAAAAGUAAUUUGCUUAUUUAAUUUUCAGUAUACUUAUUCACGAAGUGUCCUAAAAAUUAAUUCGUUCUUUAAUGAUAAAUACUCCAAAGUUCUUGAAACAAAAAGAU